rnacentral:tRNA from 1 species
GGAGGGAGAGCUCAGUGGUGGAGCACGCGCCUGGCACGCACAAGGUCCUGGGUUCCAUCCCCAGCACCUCCA